GGGGGGGAGCAUGCGUUGUUUCGGGAUUUACWGGGCGUAAAGGGCGCKUAGGCGGCCACCGCAAGUCGACUGUGAAAUCUCCGGGCUUAACCCGGAAAGGUCAGCCGAUACUGCGGGGCUAGAGUGCAGAAGGGGCAACUGGAAUUCUCGGUGUAGCGGUGAAAUGCGUAGAUAUCGAGAGGAACACCUGCGGCGAAGGCGGGUUGCUGGGCUGACACUGACGCUGAUGUGCGAAAGCUAGGGGAGCGAACGGGAUUAGAUACCCCGGUAGUCCUAGCCUUAAACGAUGAAUGCUUGGUGUCUGGGGUUUUAUAGUCCCCGGGUGCCGUSGCUAACGCUUUAAGCAUUCCGCCUGGGGAGUACGGUYGCAAGRCUG
rnacentral:rRNA from 1 species